UGCCCUAUGGCGCAAUUGGCAGCGCGUCAGACUGUUAUUCAUGGAUUCCUUGGGUAAUCAGAUCAUCUGGAGGCUCUGAGUUCGACCCUCAGUGGGGCAG